UGGGGAAUAUUGCACAAUGGGCGCAAGCCUGAUGCAGCCAUGCCGCGUGUAUGAAGAAGGCCUUCGGGUUGUAAAGUACUUUCAGCGGGGAGGAAGGUGUUGAGGCUAAUAACCUCAGCAAUUGACGUUACCCGCAGAAGAAGCACAGGCUAACUCCGUGCCAGCAGCCGCGGUAAUACGGAGGGUGCAAGCGUUAAUCGGAAUUACUGGGCGUAAAGCGCACGCAGGCGGUCUGUCAAGUCGGAUGUGAAAUCCCCGGGCUCAACCUGGGAACUGCAUUCGAAACUGGCAGGCUAGAGUCUUGUAGAGGGGGGUAGAAUUCCAGGUGUAGCGGUGAAAUGCGUAGAGAUCUGGAGGAAUACCGGUGGCGAAGGCGGCCCCCUGGACAAAGACUGACGCUCAGGUGCGAAAGCGUGGGGAGCAAACA
rnacentral:rRNA from 1 species